ACAGCCUCUGCAUUCUGUUUAAUAGCCUCAAUUACAGGUGGAAAAGCAUACAGUAUGUAAAUCAGUACACAUGAGAUGUGAUAUAAUUGCAAGGUGAACAGGUUUCUGCUGGUGGGUUCUGAGCUCUUGGCUUGUCCUUGGGAGACUUCAUUUCAUGCUGUCCUCUUCUGCAGGUUACAGCUUGGAAAAGAGCAAAAUAUGGAUCACUGCAGAAGACAGAGUUGGGGGAUGAAGAGUUAUUAACACAGCCCACCUCCUCCUUGAAAAUUGCAUGUGAAAUUGGCAGGAGUGAUGAAGUGACAAAUUCCAGCGUCUCAGCAGAAUCAUGGAAUAUCAGCUUUAUGAGUAGGACUGCUCUGAAAUGUUUAUACAAAAUGAUUUUUAGUGGAAGAAUUAGCUUCAGUUACAAAUAAUCUUUGGAAACUUUUUGUUUUUAUAAGAAAAACUAAUUUUCUGAAAGCUCCCUGUUUUUUAAUACCAGACCAAAUUUUUCUAGAUAAACAAGAAAACCUUUUAAAAUCAAAACUGAAAAAUGUACAUAUUAAAUUGCUCUUGCUUUCAGAUUAACUUGUUUUCUGCUUCUAAUGCUUGGUCAGGAAAUAAAUAUAUUGACAAAAGAUAAAGUGAAUUGAACAAGGUUUUUGUUUGUUGGUUUUGUUUUUAACACUGUGACGGGCCCAAACAGAGCAAACAGUCAUCUUCUUGAAAGCUUUCUGUUGGCAUGAAUACUUUUCUCUGUUUGACAGCAAGACCUACACUCAUCUCAGAUCACAGACAGUGAUGUUCUUUCUUAAGGCCACAAAACCUUUUUUCUUAUUGACAUGUAAAUGACAAUCUUUUACGUGAAAUUCAUUUUCAUAAUCUUUAGUACAUAAUUGGAAUUACAUGGAAGAAACAGGAAAACAGCUAGAGACAGUGGAA